CGAACGCUGGCGGCGUGCUUAACACAUGCAAGUCGCACGGAAAGGCCCUGCUUGCAGGGUACUCGAGUGGCGAACGGGUGAGUAACACGUGGGUGAUCUGCCCUGCACUUCGGGAUAAGCUUGGGAAACUGGGUCUAAUACCGGAUAGGAACCAUCUUUAGUGUGGUGGUUGGAAAGUUUUUUCGGUGUAGGAUGAGCUCGCGGCCUAUCAGCUUGUUGGUGGGGUAAUGGCCUACCAAGGCGGCGACGGGUAGCCGGCCUGAGAGGGUGUACGGCCACAUUGGGACUGAGAUACGGCCCAGACUCCUACGGGAGGCAGCAGUGGGGAAUAUUGCACAAUGGGCGCAAGCCUGAUGCAGCGACGCCGCGUGGGGGAUGAAGGCCUUCGGGUUGUAAACUCCUUUCGCUAGGGACGAAGCGUUGUUGUGACGGUACCUAGAUAAGAAGCACCGGCUAACUACGUG
rnacentral:rRNA from 1 species